rnacentral:rRNA from 1 species
UACGGGGGGAGCAAGCGUUGUUCGGAUUUACUGGGCGUAAAGGGCGCGUAGGCGGCCAGUGCAAGUCAGUUGUGAAAUCUCCGAGCCUAACUCGGAAAGGUCAACUGAUACUGCUCGGCUAGAGUGCGGAAGGGGCAACUGGAAUUCUUGGUGUAGCGGUGAAAUGCGUAGAUAUCAAGAGGAACACCUGCGGCGAAGGCGGGUUGCUGGGCCGACACUGACGCUGAGGCGCGAAAGCUAGGGGAGCGAACGGG